AAAAGCUCUUUAGAAUCAUUCUAACUCCUCCUUUCACAAGAGAAGGAGGUUGUUUAAACUCUGUGCUGUGGUAUAUUAUGCAUUUAAGCCAUAAAAAUAAACUUUGGGAGAUAGAUAUUGCACGCACAAGUCAUAAAGGGUGCCAUAAUCAUUUGCCUUUCAGAGGUGGAAAAUUAUAUUGGAAGUUAUACAAAAGUAUGUGCAAAUGGGAUAAGAAAUGCCAAACAGGAAGAAUGAAAGGUUUCUGGAAAGCAACUAACCUGAUGGGAACUUCUGCACAAGUUCUUAUUCAAGAUUUGAUUUUCAAGAGUACAUCUUCCUUUAGCAACCAUGGGAAUUAACUUCUGAGUUUCUGCGAAUGCACUUGGGUUGUCCAGUCUGGAGAAAAGGAGGCUGAGAGCCAUCUUCACUGCUGUCUGCAGCUUCCUGAGGACAGGAAGCAGAGAGGGAGGUGCAGCUUCUGCUCCUUGGGAACAGAUGGCAGGAUGCACAGCAAAGGCACGAAGCUGAGCCAGGGAAGAGUAUUCCACCGCAUCCCAUCCCAUCCCAUCCCAUCCCAUCCCAUCCCAUCCCAUCCCAUCCCAUCCCAUCCCAUCCCAUCCCACUCCACUCCAUUCCAUUUUAUGUUAUUUGUCAGCCCACAUAGACAUACAGUGAAAUUUCUUCUUUAGGUAAAAUAGUUCUUAUUUUUCUAUUCAGAACUAAUCCUAAGCUAACCUUCUUGUGCGAGGUAUAACCAAUUUUGAUUUCUGAUUAUAGGGAACUAUAAUCAGAGAUAACUUCCACUCCCCUCACAAUAAAAUUUUGCUCUAAGAGCCCACCCCAUGAAUGAUCCAUUCCUCCCUGGACUUUCACAAAAUCAUCUCUUUGACGUAGCCCUACAUAAAUCAAAAUUAAUUUAUUUCCUGGAGUCCAAAACAACUUCUUCCCUCCAAAAUAAAUACUUCUCUGAACAUUAAA